UGCCAGCCGCCGCGGUAAUACGUAGGGUGCAAGCGUUGUUCGGAAUUACUGGGCGUAAAGGGCGUGCAGGCGGAUUGGUAAGCCGGAGGUGAAAGCCCGGGGCUCAACCCCGGAGGGUCUUUCGGAACUGCCAAUCUUGAGAGGGUCAGGGGCCAGCGGAAUUCCUGGUGUAGAGGUGAAAUUCGUAGAGAUCAGGAGGAACACCGGCGGCGAAAGCGGCUGGCUGGGGCCACUCUGACGCUGAGGCGCGAAAGCGUGGGGAGCAAACAGGAUUAGAUA
rnacentral:rRNA from 1 species